UACGUAGGUGGCAAGCGUUGUCCGGAUUUACUGGGUGUAAAGGGCGUGUAGCCGGGCUGACAAGUCAGAUGUGAAAUCCGGGGGCUCAACCCCCGAACUGCAUUUGUAACUGUUGGUCUUGAGUAUCGGAGAGGCAGGCGGAAUUCCUAGUGUAGCGGUGAAAUGCGUAGAUAUUAGGAGGAACACCAGUGGCGAAGGCGGCCUGCUGGACGACAACUGACGGUGAGGCGCGAAAGCGUGGGGAGCAAACAGG
rnacentral:rRNA from 1 species